GACGAACGCUGGCGGCGCGCUUAACACAUGCAGGUCGAACGGAAAGGCCUGCUUUCCCUUGUGGAUUGCGGGUACUCGCGUGGCGAACGGGUGAGUAACACGUGAGUGAUCUGCCCCCAACUUGGGUAUAAGCCUGGGAAACUGGGUCUAAUUCCCGAUAGGACUGCAGGGUGGUGCCUGUGGUGGAAAACGAUUUUCUAGUGGUUGGGGAUGAGCUCGCGGCCUAUCAGCUUGUUGGUGGGGUAAUGGCCUACCAAGGCGGCGACGGGUAGCCGGCCUGGGAGGGUGGACGGCCACAUUGGGACUGAGAUACGGCCCAGACUCCUACGGGAGGCAGCAGUGGGGAAUAUGGCACAAUGGGCGGAAGCCUGAUGCAGCGACGCCGCGUGGGGGAUGACGGCCUUCGGGUUGUAAACUCCUUUCGACCGCGAGGAAGCCACCUGGUUGGAAGGGUGGUGACGGUAGUGGUAGAAGAAGCACCGGCUAACUACGUG
rnacentral:rRNA from 1 species